UACAGAGGUCCCAAGCGUUGUUCGGAUUCACUGGGCGUAAAGGGUGCGCAGGCGGUUGUGUGUGUCAGGUGUGAAAGCCCGGGGCUUAACCCCGGAAUUGCGCCUGAAACUACAUGACUAGAGCAUUGGAGAGGGUAGCGGAAUUCACGGUGUAGCAGUGAAAUGCGUAGAUAUCGUGAGGAACACCAGAGGCGAAGGCGGCUCACUGGCCCGGUACUGACGCUGAGGUGCGAAAGCGUGGGGAGCAAACAGG
rnacentral:rRNA from 1 species